GACGAACGCUGGCGGCGUGCUUAACACAUGCAAGUCGAACGGAAAGUCCCUGCUGUUGUGGGGUGCUCGAGUGGCGAACGGGUGAGUAACACGUGAGUAACCUGCCGUUGACUUUGGGAUAACUUCAGGAAACUGGGGCUAAUACAGGAUAGGAGCUCCUGCUUCAUGGCGGGGGUUGGAAAGUUUCGGCGGUUGGGAAUGGACUGGCGGCUUAUCAGCUUGUUGGUGGGGUAGUGGCUUACCAAGGCUUUGCCGGGUAGCCGGCCUGAGAGGGUGGCUGGCCACAUUGGGACUGAGAGACGGCCCGGCCACCUUCGGGAGGGAGCAGUGGGGAAGAUUGCACAAUGGGCGGAAGCCUGAUGCAGCAACGCCGGGUGCGGGAUGACAGACUUCCGGUGGUAAACAGCUUUCGCCUGGGACGAAGCGUGAGGGACGAUAAUGGGUAAGGAAGCACCGGCAAACUACUU
rnacentral:rRNA from 1 species